ACGAACGCUGGCGGCGUGCCUAAUACAUGCAAGUCGAGCGGACGAAUCGAAAGCUUGCUUUUGAUUCGUUAGCGGCGGACGGGUGAGUGACACGUGGGCAACCUGCCCUGUAGACGGGGAUAACACCGAGAAAUCGGUGCUAAUACCGGAUAACACGAAAUGUCGCAUGACGUUUCGUUGAAAGACGGCGCAAGCUGUCGCUACAGGAUGGGCCCGCGGCGCAUUAGCUAGUUGGUGAGGUAACGGCUCACCAAGGCGACGAUGCGUAGCCGACCUGAGAGGGUGAUCGGCCACACUGGGACUGAGACACGGCCCAGACUCCUACGGGAGGCAGCAGUAGGGAAUCUUCCGCAAUGGACGAAAGUCUGACGGAGCAACGCCGCGUGAGCGAAGAAGGCCUUCGGGUCGUAAAGCUCUGUUGUUAGGGAAGAACAAGUAACGCAGUAACUGGCGUUACCGUGACGGUACCUAACGAGAAAGCCACGGCUAACUACGUG
rnacentral:rRNA from 1 species